CAUGACUGAGCGACUGAACUGACCAACAGAUUAAGUGAGCAGAGCAAUCAGUCUUGGAUUUGGUAACAAAUUGACCUCACCGGAAUGGCCUGGAGGAAAACACCCCUCACCCCCAACCAAGGGCAGCACGCAACCAACUCGACUGAUAAGGAAACACGAAAGUCCUACUCUUUUGUCUCAAGAGAAUAUGAAAAUGCUACUUCUAUUUCUGAGAGUCUUGUGCUGAGUGCUGGCAUCCAAGUUGUAAAACUGUUCAAGAUUUUUGGACCCAAGAACUCCCACGUGUGAGAGAUCAGACCAUCUUGUGUCAUGCUUUAGAAUUUAGUGUCUCAUUUUCUUUAUUCUGUUCUAGCCCUAAUUCAUCUGUAUUUCAGUAAUCACAGCAGCUAGCUUUUGUAGAUAUCUUUUCAUUAUACCUGAUUUGUCACAACUUUGAUUUUAUUUAAGUAAAUUAAGUAUCUUUACAGGGUGCAUAGUUUUGCAGAGUAGAACAGUUAGGAUUCUGAAUAUGUAGUUAGAAUGUAACCUUCUAAAGAACAGGACUUUGUUUUAUUGUGCUAAAUAGUUUGUUACCUUUUGAUGAAUAUUUUGACUCACUUCAGAGAUGAAUUAAUAGGGAUAAAUUUUUCUAGUACUUUAAAUAAAAUCAUUUAUGAUGGUUCUUACAUCUGUUACUGGAAGGAUGUUAUUUUUCUCUUAAUGAUUGUAAGAAUUGUGUAUCUUAAUUUUAGAAUAAAAAUUUUUACGUAGUAAAUGAAAUUUGGGCUUUGAGAACAAGUACUUUGAAUGUCCAUAAAUGACUUUCUUUUCAUAAACCGCACUGUAUGAGAACUCACACA